rnacentral:rRNA from 1 species
UACUCCUACGGGAGGCAGCAGUAGGGAAUCUUCCACAAUGGGCGAAAGCCUGAUGGAGCAACGCCGCGUGUGUGAUGAAGGGUUUCGGCUCGUAAAACACUGUUGUAAGAGAAGAAUGACAUUGAGAGUAACUGUUCAAUGUGUGACGGUAUCUUACCAGAAAGGAACGGCUAAAUACGUGCCAGCAGCCGCGGUAAUU